GAUGAACGCUAGCUACAGGCUUAACACAUGCAAGUCGUGGGGCAGCGGAUACUUAGCUUGCUAAGUAUGCCGGCGACCGGCGCACGGGUGAGUAACGCGUACCGAACCUGCCCAUCACACAGGGAUAGGCUUGCGAAAGCAAGAUUAAUACCUGAUGGUCUCAGUUGUAUGCAUGUAUAAUUGAGUAAAGCCUUCGGGCGGUGAUGGAUGGCGGUGCGUCCCAUUAGGAAGUUGGCGGGGUAACGGCCCACCAAUCCUUCGAUGGGUAGGGGUUCUGAGAGGAAGGUCCCCCACAUUGGAACUGAGAUACGGUCCAAACUCCUACGGGAGGCAGCAGUGAGGAAUAUUGGUCAAUGGGCGAGAGCCUGAACCAGCCAAAUAGCGUGCGGGAUGAAGGCCCUUGUGGUCGUAAACCGCUUUUAUCAGUGAAUAAAGUGCAUCACGUGUGGUGUCAUUGCAGGUAGCUGAAGAAAAAGGACCGGCUAAUUCCGUGCCAGCAGCCGCGGUAAUACGGAAGGUCCGGGCGUUAUCCGGAAUUAUUGGGUUUAAAGGGAGCGCAGGCGGGAGUGUAAGUCAGCUGUUAAAUAUCAGGGCCCAACUCUGUUAUGCAGUUGAAACUAUAUUUCUUGAGUACGCACAGGGAUGGCGGAAUUCAGGGUGUAGCGGUGAAAUGCUUAGAUAUCCUGAAGAACUCCGAUCGCGAAAGCAGCCAUCCGGAGCGUAACUGACGCUGAGGCUCGAAGGUGCGGGUAUCGAACAGG
rnacentral:rRNA from 1 species